GACAUAGGUCGCAAACGUUAUCCGGAAUUAUUGGGCGUAAAGGGCUCGUAGGCGGUUUGUCGCGUCGGGAGUGAAAACCAGAGGCUUAACUUCUGGCUUGCUUUCGAUACGGGCAGACUUGAGGCAUGCAGGGGAGAACGGAAUUCCUGGUGUAGCGGUGAAAUGCGCAGAUAUCAGGAGGAACACCGGUGGCGAAGGCGGUUCUCUGGGCAUGUUCUGACGCUGAGGAGCGAAAGUGUGGGGAGCGAACAGG
rnacentral:rRNA from 1 species